GUGGUACUCCCUCUGUCCGGAAAUACUUGUCAUCAAAAUGAAUAAAAGGGGAUGUAUCUAGAUGUAUUUUAGUUCUAGAUAUAUCCCUUUUUGUCCAUUUUGAUGACAACUAUUUUCGGACGGAGGGAGUAUGAA
rnacentral:pre_miRNA from 1 species